UGACUCCCCCUCUUCCUGCAG
rnacentral:miRNA from 1 species